GAUGAACGCUGGCGGCGUGCCUAAUACAUGCAAGUCGAGCGAACAGAUGAGGACCUUUCUCCUCUGACGUUAGCGGCGGACGGGUGAGUAACUCGUGGAUAACCUACCUCUCAGAAUGGGAUAACUUCGGGAAACCGGUGCUACUACCGGAUAAUAUAUUGAUCUGCAUGGUUCACUAGUGAAAGACGGUUUUGGUGUCACUUAUAGAUGGAUCCGCGCCGCAUUUGCUAGUUGGUAGAGUAAAGGGUUACCAAAGCAACAAGUCGUAGACGCUCUGAGAGGGUAGACGCCCACACGGGAACUGAGACACAUCCGAGACUCCUGCGGGAGGCAACGGUCGGGAAUCAUCCGCGAUGGGCGAAAGCCUGACGGAGGAACACCGCGUGAAUGAUGAAAGUCUUCGGAUCGUAAAACGCUGUUAUUAGUGGAGUACAAAUGUGUAAGUAACUAUGCACGUCUUGACGGUACCUGAUCAGAAAGCCACGGCUAACUACGUG
rnacentral:rRNA from 1 species